rnacentral:rRNA from 1 species
CCUACGGGAGGCAGCAGUGAGGAAUAUUGGUCAAUGGCCGUAAGGCUGAACCAGCCAAGUCGCGUGAAGGAAGAAGGAUCUAUGGUUUGUAAACUUCUUUUAUAGGGGAAUAAAGGUAUCCACGUGUGGAGAUUUGCAUGUACCCUAUGAAUAAGCAUCGGCUAACUCCGUGCCAGCAGCCGCGGUAAUACGGAGGAUGCGAGCGUUAUCCGGAUUUAGUGGGUUUAAAGGGUGCGUAGGUUGUUUUUUAAGUCAGCGGUGAAAGUUUGUGGCUCAACCAUAAAAUUGCGGUUGAAACUGGAAGACGUGAGUAUGUGUGAGGUAGGCGGAAUGCGUGGUGUAGCGGUGAAAUGCAUAGAUAUCACGCAGAACUCCGAUGGCGAAGGCAGCUUACUAAGCCAUAACUGACACUGAAGCACGAAAGCGUGGGGAUCAAACAGGAUUAGAUACCCGAGUAGUC